UACGGAGGGGGCUAGCGUUGUUCGGAAUUACUGGGCGUAAAGCGCACGUUAGGCGGCUUGACAAGUCAGAGGUGAAAGCCCGGGGCUCAACCCCGGAAUUGCCUUUGAGACUGCAUCGCUAGAACGUCGGAGAGGUGAGUGGAAUUCCCGGUGUAGCGGUGAAAUGCGUAGAUAUCGGGAGACACCUGUGGCGAAAGCGGCGCACUGGACCAUAACUGACGCUGAGGCGCGAAAGCUAGGGGAGCAAACAGGAUU
rnacentral:rRNA from 1 species